rnacentral:rRNA from 1 species
GAGGUGUAAGGUUAAGUCCUUGAACGAGCGCAACCCACGUCGUUAUUUGCCACGGAGCAAUCCAGCUACUAUAACGAUACCGCCGGCGACGAGCCGGAGGAAGGCGUGGACGACGUCAAAUCAUCACGCCCCUUAUGUCCAGGGCUACACACAUGCGACAAUGGUCGGAACAAUGAGUUGCCAAGCAGUAAUGCGGAGCUAAUCUCCAAAGCCGGCCUCAGUACAGAUCGAGGGUUGCAACCCACCCUCGUGAAGAUGGAGUUGCUAGUAAACGCAAGUCAGCUAUAUUGCGUUGAAUACGUUCCCGGCCUU